rnacentral:rRNA from 1 species
AUGGCCGCGUGCACGUCUCAGCAUGCGCUCAUCUCCGUCAAACCUCCGCGCGCUUCCGCCAGCUUCGGCUCCGACAGGAGGGCCGGCAAUGUGCGCUUUGUUUCAGCAACGAGUUGCUGCCCCGGCAGCCGGAAACUGGGCUUGGUCUGCGCAUCGAAUUCGCAAUCUUCAGUGAUUGAACCGGCUAAGCUACCGUCGAGCCCCGAAAGUGGCAGCACCCCCAAAAAAUCAAGUGAGGCUGCACUGAUAUUGAUUCGGCACGGGGAAUCGUUGUGGAACGAGAAAAAUCUGUUUACUGGCUGCGUCGAUGUGCCCCUGACCCCCAAGGGCGUCAAUGAGGCGAUCGAGGCGGGUAAAAGGAUAUGCAAUAUCCCAGUUGAUGUUAUAUACACCUCAUCACUAAUCCGUGCUCAGAUGACCGCUAUGCUUGCCAUGAUGCAGCAUCGUCGUAAGAAGGUUCCAAUUAUUGUGCACAAGGAGAGCGAACGGGCACACCAGUGGAGUCAGGUAUACAGCGAGGAGACAAAGAAGCAGUCCAUUCCUGUAAUAACAGCUUGGCAGUUGAAUGAACGAAUGUAUGGUGAACUGCAAGGCCUUAACAAGCAAGAAACGGCUGAUCUGUUUGGCAAAGAUCAAGUUCAUGAAUGGCGUCGUAGUUAUGACAUUCCUCCCCCAAAUGGAGAGAGCCUAGAGAUGUGUGCAGAGAGAGCAGUUUCUUAUUUCAAAGAGCAAAUUAUACCCCAGCUUGUGUCUGGAAAGCAUGUUAUGAUUGCUGCCCAUGGGAAUUCACUCCGUUCAAUUAUAAUGCAUCUGGACAAGUUGACUUCUCAAGAGGUAAUAAGCCUUGAGUUGUCGACUGGCAUUCCUAUGCUGUAUAUAUUUAAGGAAGGGAAAUUUAUCAGGCGGGGUAGUCCCGCAGGACCUUCUGAGGCAGGCGUUUAUGCUUAUACAAAGAGUUUGGCCAAGUACAGACAGAAGCUUGACGGCAUGGAUCAGUAA